rnacentral:rRNA from 1 species
AUAUCAAUAAGCGGAGGAAAAGAAACUAACAAGGAUUCCCCUAGUAGCGGCGAGUGAAGCGGGAAGAGCUCAAAUUUGUAAUCUGGCGUCUUUCAGGCGUCCGAGUUGUAAUCUAUAGAAGUGUUUUCCGUGCUGGACCAUGUCCAAGUCCCUUGGAACAGGGUAUCAAAGAGGGUGACAAUCCCGUACUUGACAUGACCACCAGUGCUCUGUGAUACACUUUCUACGAGUCGAGUUGUUUGGGAAUGCAGCUCAAAAUGGGUGGUAAAUUCCAUCUAAAGCUAAAUAUUGGCGAGAGACCGAUAGCGAACAAGUACCGUGAGGGAAAGAUGAAAAGCACUUUGGAAAGAGAGUUAAACAGUACGUGAAAUUGUUGAAAGGGAAACGAUUGAAGUCAGUCGUGUUCAUUGGACUCAGCCGGUUUUCGGUGUAUUUCCUUUGAACGGGUCAACAUCAGUUUUGUCCGGUGGAUAAAGGCAGGAAGAAAGUGGCUCCCUCGGGAGUGUUAUAGCUUUCUGUCACAUACACUGGAGGAGACUGAGGACUGCAGCUCGCCUUUUGGCCGGGGUUCGCCCACGUUCGAGCUUAGGAUGUUGACAUAAUGGCUUUAAACGAC